ensembl:ncRNA Y6B3B.13 ncRNA
AAAAAGUGUCCAAAUGGCGCAGUGGGAUUUUCCACCAAAUUCCUUGCAAUCACAAGACCGGGGUUCGAGUCCACGCUAGAGUCAAUAAUU